rnacentral:rRNA from 2 species
AUGCAAGCUCGAGUCGGUCUUUGUGGAGUCUUGCUCCACAAAACAGCGGCGGACGGGUGAGUAACACGUGGGUAACCUACCUUAUACAGGGGAAUAACAAUCAGAAAUGGUUGCUAAAACCGCAUAAGCUUACGACAUCGCAUGAUGAAGUAAGAAAAUAUUUAUAGGUAUAAGAGGGGCCCGCGACUGAUUAGCUAGUUGGUAGGGUAAGAGCCUACCAAGGCGACGAUCAGUAGCCGACCUGAGAGGGUGAUCGGCCACAUUGGGACUGAGACACGGCCCAAACUCCUACGGGAGGCAGCAGUGGGGAAUAUUGCACAAUGGGGGAAACCCUGAUGCAGCAACGCCGCGUGAAGGAAGAAGGUUUUCGGAUCGUAAACUUCUAUCGAUGGGGAAGAAAAAAAUGACGGUACCCAAAUAAGAAGCCCCGGCUAACUACGUGCCAGCAGCCGCGGUAAUACGUAGGGGGCAAGCGUUAUCCGGAAUUACUGGGUGUAAAGGGUGAGUAGGCGGUAAGAUAAGUCAUAUGUGAAAGCCCGGGGCUUAACCCCGGGACUGCAUAAGAAACUGUCAUACUAGAGUACAGGAGAGGUAAGCGGAAUUCCUAGUGUAGCGGUGAAAUGCGUAGAUAUUAGGAAGAACACCAGUGGCGAAGGCGGCUUACUGGACUGAAACUGACGCUGAGUCACGAAAGCGUGGGGAGCAAACAGGAUUAGAUACCCUGGUAGUCCACGCUGUAAACGAUGAAUGCUA